AUUAGACGUUCCCUUCGGGGACAUGGAUACAGGUGGUGCAUGGUUGUCGUCAGCUCGUGUCGUGAGAUGUUGGGUUAAGUCCCGCAACGAGCGCAACCCUUAUUAUCAGUUGCCAGCAUUAAGUUGGGCACUCUGGUGAGACUGCCGGUGACAAACCGGAGGAAGGUGGGGAUGACGUCAAAUCAUCAUGCCCCUUAUGACCUGGGCUACACACGUGCUACAAUGGAUGGUACAACGAGUUGCGAACUCGCGAGAGUAAGCUAAUCUCUUAAAGCCAUUCUCAGUUCGGAUUGUAGGCUGCAACUCGCCUACAUGAAGUCGGAAUCGCUAGUAAUCGCGGAUCAGCAUGCCGCGGUGAAUACGUUCCCGGGUCUUGUACACACCGA
rnacentral:rRNA from 2 species